rnacentral:rRNA from 1 species
UACGGGGGGGGCAAGCGUUGUUCGGAAUUACUGGGCGUAAAGGGUUCGUAGGUGGCUUGUUAAGUCAGACGUGAAAUCCCUCGGCUCAACCGGGGAACUGCGUCUGAUACUGGAUGGCUUGAGUUCGGGAGAGGGAUGCGGAAUUCCAGGUGUAGCGGUGAAAUGCGUAGAUAUCUGAAGGAACACCGGUGGCGAAGGCGGCAUCCUGGACCGAUACUGACGCUGAGGAGCGAAAGCCAGGGGAGCAAACGGG